rnacentral:tRNA from 1 species
GGGCAUUGGCGGACACUGGCAACUGUUUAAUAAGGGUUUUCAAUACGUCUAUGUCCGCCAAAGGCCGUUUUCCCACCCUUCACACGGGUGGGGUCGCAGGUUCAAUCCCUGCCGCGCCCACCA